GCCCGACCCGAUCCGAAAAUCGAAGGAAGUGAGCUCCCGCUCGCAUUUUAAAAUCUUUCCAUUGUUCCGAACGAGUUGCAUUAUUAAUUGAUCAGUGAGAGAGAGAGUGAUGCGGUAGUGUAGGGUUACAAAACCCGUUUGUAGUUUUAGAAGAAGAAGAAAUUUGUUUUGUUGAUGAUGGAUUCUCCAGGACCUUCCAAGAACAACAAUGGCAGUUCCUCUUCUGCUUCCACUCUCAACAACAACAACAACGAUGCUGCUUCAUCGGAAUCCCCUCAAGUACAAGAAUCCCCCUUUCUUAGAUUUGUAAAGACUUUAUCUCCAAUACCCACCAAGGCUUCUCAUACGACACAAGGUUGUCUAAGGCUCAGUUCUCCACCCCUUGUAUUCAAGUCUCCUCGAAUUAGUCACCGUGAAACGCAGCUCACAGAAAGGCCCCAAGGCACUCGGUCACUCGGUGGAGUAAUUCUUCAAAGUGUAAAUGAAGGCAACAUGCUUGGUGAAGCUCCUGGAGAUUCCAGGACAUCAAAUUCUCAGCAGUCACUGCCAGAGAGGUUUAUAAAUGACACUCAGCAGGUUUUUGACUCCAAGAAUGAUGAAAAUACUCAGUACUACAGUUCUCCAUCAUGCAUUGAUAAAUAUUUGGUGGAUCCUGGGGAUAUUGAUCAAAUGUAUUCAGCUGGUCAGGAUGUGGAACAACAAUCUACAGAUCCAGCUGAAGCAUCACUAAGUGACCAAAUUCACCCAAAGAAUAAUAUAUUAAAUUUUGACAGGCAAGACGGUCCUGGUGAUAAAGUAGAAGAAUCUUUGCCUUUGUCAGAAGGUUUUAACAAGUUUCAUCAAGAAAAUGCAGCAUAUGGUGAAGAACCUGAAGAGAUGGAAGUGGAGAAUAAUGAUGUUCAAUGGUCUUCUCAAGAGCCCGCAAAGUUAGAGUCCAUUUUAGCUGCAGAUGUUUUUGAGAAACGAUACAGUCAUGAUACACUUCCUCAGGGUGUUAAAGGAUGUGAAGAUUACAAUGAGAUGGUGCCAACCUCACAUGUAACUGCAGAGAAUAUCUUGCAAGAUGGUUCUAAGGCUACUCUAAAGUACCAUGGCAUUCGUAGACGUUGCCUACAAUUUGGGGAAGCUGCCUCAAAUGCUCUUGGAAGUAAUGUGAAACUAAAUGCAACUUCAAACAAAAUAAUAAUGGUCAAGCCGUCUGAACUUGUCACUUCCUUGUGUCCUCAGCGAGGUAGUGGAAACUUCCCUUUGACAGGUCCCAAGCCAACAGGUAUUGGGUUGCAUAUAAAUCGCAUCAUGAAUGCUAUUCCAACUGGUCAGGCUGCAACUAUGGGUGUGAGAUUAUCAGAUGGUUCACAGGGGAUGAAAUCCACAUCUUCAAUAAGGUUACAAAGAAUAGAGAAUGUAAAGAGAUCCAUACUUUCGUCUAAUGUUGAUGGGCGAUCAUUAGUUAAUACAAGAACUGAGAGCCAUGAAAUUGAUGAUACAGGAAAUUCUGAGGACUUCAACAUACCUUCUAGCCCCUGCCAGAAAAAGAAGAAAAUAUCAGAGACUGCUGAUGACGAUGGCUGUAAACAUUGCAACUGUAAGAAGAGUAGAUGUUUAAAACUUUACUGUCAUUGUUUUGCUGCUGGUACGUACUGUACCGACCCUUGUGCUUGCCAAGGCUGCUUAAACAGACCAGAAUAUGCAGAGACAGUUGUCGAGACUAAACAACUAAUUGAAUCCCGUGAUCCAUCUGCAUUUGAUCCCAAGAUUGUACUGCCUACCACUGAUAUUUCUUCACAUAUGGAUGAUGAAAAUCUGACGACACCGUCAUCGGCAAGGCACAAAAGAGGUUGCAAUUGCAAAAGGUCAAUGUGUCUGAAAAAAUAUUGUGAAUGUUAUCAGGCUAAUGUUGGAUGCUCUAGUGGAUGUCGAUGUGAGGGAUGCAAGAAUGUCUAUGGCAAGAAAGAAGAUUAUGUUGCAUUUGAACAUACUUCGAGCAAAGAAAGGGAGAGCAGUAUUGUUGAAGAAGGAUCAGACUACACUUUUCACAAGAAACUGGAAAGGGUGGCUAGCAAGACUGUUUAUGGUCUACACUGCCUCUCACCUAUAACGCCAUCAUUGCAAUGCUCUGAGCAAGGCAAGGAGGCUGCUAAAUCCAUAAUUAUUUCUGGAAACUAUCUACCAUCCCCUGAAUCUGAUGUCAAUAUGUUUGCAUCUUGUGCAAACUACACUAAAUCUUCUGAAAAUUUGCACAGCAGUCAAGCACUUCUGGGCACAAAUGAGAUGUUGGGAAGUACCCCCUAUGAUUCACAAAUUGAAUGCAGCCAUGCUGCCUUACUUCAGCUUACUCCUCCUCUGUCUAAUCCUGAGCUGUGUGGCACUUCAUCAUUCUCAUCUAUAGCAAAUGAGUGGAGAAAUAUUUCUCAAUCCCAACCCACCCACGGAUGUAUUAGCCAGUUACCCAGUGGCUCUCUUUGUUGGCGUAGUUCUCCACUUACCCCAAGCAAUAGAGUAGGUGAAGCACAAUAUUUUCAGUGUUCUGAAUCAGAUAGCAGGCUCUUUGACAUUCUAGAAAAUGAAACCCCUGAUGUACUGAAGGAAGCUUCAACUCCUAUGACGUCUGUCAAAAUAAAUUCCCCAACCCAAAAACGAGUUUCUCCACCUCAGAGUCGUCAUUUUGAGAUUGGAUCAAGCUCCUCUGGAGGUUUGAGAAGUGACAGGAAAUUUAUAUUUGAAUCUGUACCUUCUUUCCCUUCAUUGUCUCCUUGUGUUAAUUCGAAAAGCAAUGGUGAUGAUGAUGAGGAGGAUAUCUCAUGACAGUCAAGGGCAAGUGACAAUUCGAAGCUAAUGAAUGAUUCCCCUUAAUGUGAGAGUAUUAUACAAGCAGAAGAUUGUGUAAAUCUGGUGCAGACAUCUUGUCUGUAUAGGUAUAGGUUGCCGGGGCGACUUAUUAAUUAUUAUGGGAACAAUCAAUGCAAAAUUGAAGUUAUGGCUGCAUCUUCCUCCAAUGUCUAUUCCUUUACAUUCUUAAGCAAUUUGAAAUUUUAGUUUAGUAGUUUUUUCUUGGAACAGAUUCUUAGUCUUGUUUUUUUCUACCCUCUCUAUGGUAUGAAUGCUAUUGGACACCCUUAAAUUGAUACUAUUGCUGCUAAUUCUUAGUCUCAUCCUUCAAGGUAAGCUUGCCUCGUUAAUUAAAUAAAA